UACGUAGGGUGCGAGCGUUAAUCGGAAUUACUGGGCGUAAAGCGUGCGCAGGCGGUUUUGUAAGCCAGAUGUGAAAUCCCCGGGCUUAACCUGGGAAUGGCAUUUGGGACUGCAAGGCUUGAGUGCGGCAGAGGAGACUGGAAUUCCUGGUGUAGCAGUGAAAUGUGUAGAUAUCAGGAGGAACACCUGUGGCGAAAGCGGCUCACUGGACCAUAACUGACGCUGAUGCACGAAAGCUAGGGGAGCAAACAGG
rnacentral:rRNA from 1 species